rnacentral:lncRNA from 1 species
GUGCUUCCUUAUAUGGGAUAAAAGCAUUGCACAUGUGUUGGAACAGCCCCUAUUGAUGACAGAAUAGUGGUCUCUUCUGGAAUUGUUUAACACAGGGAGGGAAGCAAAUGGAGCUGGGACAGGGUUCAAAAAGGCUUCAACUCUAUCUGUACUGUUUUUGGUUUCUUGAAAAUAUCUGAACCACUCAGAAGACCUCAUUCUCCCACGGAGCUCCUGCAGAAGUGUCAUCGUAAUAGGAAACUACAAGACAAGACAACAAAACAAUGGCAGAGUGGCUUCAUCAGCUUGCAUGCCCAUCGACAGUGUAAGAGGGUCACAGAAGGACUUUUAAAUGACCGAAGAGAAGUGACAGCCAGAGCCGAGCGCAGUUCAUCCCAGCCACCUGGAAGAAGAGAACCUAACUACCUCAGUCAAGGCCACUCUGCAGCAAAGUGAGAUUCGCUGCUUUAAGAGAAUCCCAUUUCCAG